CCAGCAGCCGCGGUAAUUCCAGCUCCAAAAGCGUAUAUUAAAGUUGUUGCAGUUAAAAAGCUCGUAGUUGGAUUUCUGGUCUGAUGCCCUGGCCCGCACCUAUUUCGGUGUGAGUGCCGGCUGCGCGUCUGCCAUCCUUCUAGAAAACGUUCCUACCCUUCGCUGGGCCGGGUUCGGGAUCUAGAUCUUUUACUUUGAAAAAAUUAGAGUGUUUAAAGCAGGCUUUUGCUGUGAAUACAUUAGCAUGGAAUAAUAAUCUAGGACUUCGGUUCUAUUUUGUUGGUUUCUAGUACUGAAGUAAUGAUUGAUAGGGAUAGUUGGGGGUGCUAGUAUUGAGCGGCCAGAGGUGAAAUUCUUGGAUUCGCUCAAGA
rnacentral:rRNA from 1 species